UACCCGCAGCACAAGUGGUGGUCAUUAUUAUUGGGCCUAAAGCGUCCGUAGCUGGCUUGUUAGAUGCCUGGGUAAAUCGAUGCGCUCAACGUAUCGAACUCCGGGUAGACGGGCAAGCUUGGGACCGGGAGAGGCGUGAGCUACUCGGGGGGUAGGGGUAAAAUCCGUUGAUCCAUUGAAGACCACCAGUGGCGAAGGCGGCUUGCCAGAACGCGCUCGACGGUGAGGGAUGAAAGCUGGGGGAGCAAACCGG
rnacentral:rRNA from 1 species